rnacentral:rRNA from 1 species
UUGAACGCUGGCGGCAGGCCUAACACAUGCAAGUCGAGCGGUAGAGAGGUGCUUGCAUCUCUUGAGAGCGGCGGACGGGUGAGUAAUGCCUAGGAAUCUGCCUAGUGGUGGGGGAUAACGUUCGGAAACGGACGCUAAUACCGCAUACGUCCUACGGGAGAAAGCGGGGGAUCUUCGGACCUCGCGCCAUUAGAUGAGCCUAGGUCGGAUUAGCUAGUUGGUGAGGUAAUGGCUCACCAAGGCGACGAUCCGUAACUGGUCUGAGAGGAUGAUCAGUCACACUGGAACUGAGACACGGUCCAGACUCCUACGGGAGGCAGCAGUGGGGAAUUUUGGACAAUGGGCGCAAGCCUGAUCCAGCAAUGCCGCGUGCAGGAUGAAGGCCUUCGGGUUGUAAACUGCUUUGUACGGAACGAAACGGUGAGCUCUAAUACAGUUUGCUAAUGACGGUACCGUAAGAAUAAGCACCGGCUAACUACGUG